ACGGCGAAGUGAAGCGGCAAAAGCUCAAAUUUUGAAAUCCCCCGGGAAUUUGUAAUUUGAAGAGAUUUGGGUCCGGCCGGCAGGGGUUAAGUCCACUGGAAAGUGGCGCCACAGAGGGUGACAGCCCCGUGAACCCCUCUAAAGCUUUUAUCCCAGAUCUCCAAGAGUCGAGUUGUUUGGGAAUGCAGCUCUAAGUGGGUGGUAAAUUCCAUCUAAAGCUAAAUACCGGCGAGAGACCGAUAGCGAACAAGUACAGUGAUGGAAAGAUGAAAAGCACUUUGAAAAGAGAGUGAAAAAGUACGUGAAAUUGUUGAAAGGGAAGGGCUUGCAAGCAGACACUUAACUGGGCCAGCAUCGGGGCGGCGGGAAACAAAACCACCGGGGAAUGUACCUUUCGAGGAUUAUAACCCCGGUCUCUAUUUCCUUGUUGCCCCGAGGCCUGCAAUCUAAGGAUGCUGGCGUAAUGGUUGCAAGUCGCCCGUCUUGAAACACGGACCAAGGAGUCUAACAAUCAUGCAAGUGUUUGGGCCCAAAACCCAUACGCGCAAUGAAAGUAACCGGAGCGAACCUUCUGGUGCAGCUCCAGCCACACCGAGA
rnacentral:rRNA from 1 species